rnacentral:tRNA from 1 species
GUAAAAGUGGCAGAGAAGUGCACUAGAUUUAGGAUCUAGGAAUAAAGAUUCAUCUUUCUUUUAUA